rnacentral:rRNA from 13 species
CACAGACAGCUAGGAGGUUGGCUUAGAAGCAGCCAUCCUUUAAAGAAAGCGUAAUAGCUCACUAGUCGAGUCGGCCUGCGCGGAAGAUGUAACGGGGCUAAAUCUAGUACCGAAGCUGCGGAUCUCGUAAGAGAUGGUAGAGGAGCGUUCUGUAAGUCUGUGAAGGUGAAUCGAGAGGUUUGCUGGAGAUAUCAGAAGUGCGAAUGCUGACAUGAGUAACGAUAAAGGGGGUGAAAAACCCCCUCGCUGAAAGACCAAGGGUUCCUGUCCAACGCUAAUCGGGGCAGGGUGAGUCGACCCCUAAGACGAGGGCGAAAGCCGUAGUCGAUGGGAAACGGGUAAAUAUUCCCGUACUGGCUGUUACUGCGAUGGAGAGACGGAGAAGGCUAGGCAAUCAGGGCGACGGUAGUUCCCUGUUCAAGCCGGUAGGCAGAGAUCUUAGGCAAAUCCGGGAUCUUAAUGCCGAGACGUGAUGACGAGUCUCUAAGGAGACGAAGUUGUUGAUGCCAUGCUUCCAGGAAAAUCUUCUAAGCUUCAGGUAAGAAUUGACCGUACUGUAAACCGACACAGGUGAUCAGGUAGAGAAUACCAAGGCGCUUGAGAGAACUAUCUUGAAGGAACUCGGCAAAAUACCUCCGUAAGUUCGCGAGAAGGAGGCCCAGUUCUAAGGCAACUUGGAGCUGGGGGCACAAACCAGGGGGUGGCGACUGUUUACUAAAAACACAGGGCUCUGCGAAGUCGCAAGACGACGUAUAGGGUCUGACGCCUGCCCGGUGCCUGAAGGUUAAAAGGAGGGGUGAGAGCUCUGAAUUGAAGCCCAGGUAAACGGCGGCCGUAACAAUAACGGUCCUAAGGUAGCGAAAUUCCUUGUCGGGUAAGUUCCGACCUGCACGAAUGGCGUAACGACUGCCCUACUGUCUCCAACGCGGACUCAGCGAAAUUGAACUCUCCGUGAAGAUGCGGAGUUCCCGCGGUUAGACGGAAAGACCCCG